GCAUCCGUAGCCGGCUGUUCAAGUCUCCGGUUAAAUCCACACGCUUAACGUAUGGGCUGCCGGAAAUACUGUUCAGCUAGGGAGUGGGAGAGGUGGACGGUACUCGGUAGGAAGGGGUAAAAUCCUUUGAUCUAUUGAUGACCACCUGUGGCGAAGGCGGUCCACCAGAACACGUUCGACGGUGAGGGAUGAAAGCUGGGGGAGCAAACCGGAUUAGAUACCCGGGUAGUCCCAGCUGUAAACGAUGCAGACUCGGUGAUGCAUUGGCUUGUGGCCAAUGCAGUGCCGCAGGGAAGCCGUUAAGUCUGCCGCCUGGGAAGUACGUACGCAAGUAUGAAACUUAAAGGAAUUGGCGGGGGAGCACAAGCC
rnacentral:rRNA from 2 species